rnacentral:rRNA from 1 species
CGCGUAGGCGGCCUCGUAAGUCCCGUGUGAAAGCCCCCGGCUCAACUGGGGAAUUGCACGGGAAACUGCGGGGCUUGAGUUCGGGAGAGGGAAGCGGAAUUCCGGGUGUAGCGGUGAAAUGCGUAGAUAUCCGGAGGAACACCAGUGGCGAAGGCGGCUUCCUGGACCGACACUGACGCUGAGGCGCGAAAGCUAGGGGAGCAAACGG